AUUGAACGCUGGCGGCAUGCCUUACACAUGCAAGUCGAACGGUAACGCGGGGCGACCUGGCGACGAGUGGCGAACGGGUGAGUAAUGCAUCGGAACGUGCCCAGUAGUGGGGGAUAGCCCGGCGAAAGCCGGAUUAAUACCGCAUACGACCUACGGGUGAAAGCGGGGGAUCGCAAGACCUCGCGCUAUUGGAGCGGCCGAUGUCAGAUUAGGUAGUUGGUGGGGUAAAGGCCUACCAAGCCUGCGAUCUGUAGCUGGUCUGGGAGGACGACCAGCCACACUGGGACUGAGACACGGCCCAGACUCCUACGGGAGGCAGCAGUGGGGAAUUUUGGACAAUGGGCGCAAGCCUGAUCCAGCCAUGCCGCGUGCGGGAAGAAGGCCUUCGGGUUGUAAACCGCUUUUGUCAGGGAAGAAACGCUCUGGGUUAAUACCCUGGGGUAAUGACGGUACCUGAAGAAUAAGCACCGGCUAACUACGUGCCAGCAGCCGCCGUAAUAC
rnacentral:rRNA from 1 species